GCACUCGCUCCCGGCCCAUGCUGGAGGCGGCGGAACCGCGGGGACCUAGGACGGAGGCGGCGGGCGCUGGGCGGCCCCCGGCACGCUGAGCUCGGGAUGCGGACGCUGCUGCCUCCCGCGCUGCUGACCUGCUGGCUGCUCGCCCCCGUGAACAGCAUUCACCCAGAAUGCCGAUUUCAUCUGGAAAUACAGGAGGAAGAAACAAAAUGUGCAGAGCUUCUGAGGUCUCAAACAGAAAAACACAAAGCCUGCAGUGGCGUCUGGGACAACAUCACGUGCUGGCGGCCUGCCAAUGUGGGAGAGACCGUCACGGUGCCCUGCCCAAAAGUCUUCAGCAAUUUUUACAGCAAAGCAGGAAACAUAAGCAAAAACUGUACGAGUGACGGAUGGUCAGAGACGUUCCCAGAUUUCGUCGAUGCCUGUGGCUACAGCGACCCGGAGGAUGAGAGCAAGAUCACGUUUUAUAUUCUGGUGAAGGCCAUUUAUACACUGGGCUACAGUGUCUCUCUGAUGUCUCUUGCAACAGGAAGCAUAAUUCUGUGCCUCUUCAGGAAGCUGCACUGCACCAGGAAUUACAUCCACCUGAACCUGUUCCUGUCCUUCAUCCUGAGAGCCAUCUCAGUGCUGGUCAAGGACGACGUUCUCUACUCCAGCUCUGGCACGUUGCACUGCCCUGACCAGCCAUCCUCCUGGGUGGGCUGCAAGCUGAGCCUGGUCUUCCUGCAGUACUGCAUCAUGGCCAACUUCUUCUGGCUGCUGGUGGAGGGGCUCUACCUCCACACCCUCCUGGUGGCCAUGCUCCCCCCUAGAAGGUGCUUCCUGGCCUACCUCCUGAUCGGAUGGGGCCUCCCCACCGUCUGCAUCGGUGCAUGGACUGCGGCCAGGCUCUACUUAGAAGACACCGGUUGCUGGGAUACAAACGACCACAGUGUGCCCUGGUGGGUCAUACGAAUACCGAUUUUAAUUUCCAUCAUCGUCAAUUUUGUCCUUUUCAUUAGUAUUAUACGAAUUUUGCUGCAGAAGUUAACAUCCCCAGAUGUCGGCGGCAACGACCAGUCUCAGUACAAGAGGCUGGCCAAGUCCACGCUCCUGCUUAUCCCGCUGUUCGGCGUCCACUACAUGGUGUUUGCCGUGUUUCCCAUCAGCAUCUCCUCCAAAUACCAGAUACUGUUUGAGCUGUGCCUCGGGUCGUUCCAGGGCCUGGUGGUGGCCGUCCUCUACUGUUUCCUGAACAGUGAGGUAAGUUCAUGGCCGCCUUGGAACCAAGCACAGGUACUCACUUGCUUCCUGAGAUGCUGCCCAGCCUGGUGCCGCAGCCCCCACACAUGCCUGUCUUCCGCGGGCUCGAGUUACUGCCCGGGACCCCACAGUUCUGUGUCCCCAUCAGAGAACCCACAACGACACAGGCAAACCCACUCUUCUGGGCCCAGCUUCCAAACCCCGCCGUCCUUCCGUCCACCCUAAGUAGCAUCGACUGCCGUCCGUCUCGGAGCCCUCUCGGGAAAGCUCCCGGCCGGGUCUAGACAGAAUCUGUUUUUCCCCAUGGUCGGCGUCUCGCUCCUGACCAUAGCUUGUGCAGUGCGAGCUGAAGCGAAAAUGGCGAAGCCGGUGCCCGACCCCGUCCGCGAGCCGGGAUUACAGGGUCUGCGGUUCCUCCUUCUCCCGCAACGGCUCGGAGGGCGCCCUGCAGUUCCACCGCGGCUCCCGCGCCCAGUCCUUCCUGCAAACGGAGACCUCGGUCAUCUAGCCCCACCCCUGCCUGUCGGACGCGGCGGGAGGCCCACGGUUCGGGGCUUCUGCGGGGCUGAGACGCCGGCUUCCUCCUUCCAGAUGCCCGAGCACCGUGUCGGGCAGGUCAGCGCGGUCCUGACUCCGUCAAGCUGGUUGUCCACUAAACCCCAUACCUGGAAUUGGAGUCGUGUUGUCAUUGACUCGAUUUAAACUCCAGCAUUUAGAUAAUCUUGUGCAAAAUGUGUUUCAGCCGUAUAGUGGAUCCACUUUUUUUUUUUUUUUUUUUUUUGAGACGGAGUCUCGCUCUGUCGCCCAGGCUGGACUGCAGUGGCCUGAUCUCUGCUCCCUGCAAGCUCCGCCUCCCGGGUUCACGCCAUUCUCCUGCCUCAGCCUCCCAUAGCUGGGACUACAGGCGCCCGCCAACACGCCUGGCUAAUUUUUUGUAUUUUUAGUAGAGACAGGGUUUCACCAUGUUAGCCAGGAUGGUCUCGAUCUCCUGACCUCGUGAUGGGCCCGCCUCGGCCUCCCAAAGUGCUGGGAUUAAGGCGUGAGCCACUGCGCCCGGCCCAAGAGAAUAGGGGAGCCAAGGAGGAAAUGUGGAAACGCAGUUGUGUGGCCCAGCACGAGCCUGGGCGACCACCGGGUGACAUCCGUCCCACAUCAGGGCGGCCUCCCAGGUCCCAUAAGGGUAGCCCCCUCAUCUGCAGGACAGAGGGAAGCCAGUCAGGGCCCCCCUGACGUUAGGACCAGGAGAAAUCAACAGGAGGGCAGCCCGUCCUCUCUCUUGGGGCGCCCACCCGGCCCGGCUGAGCCCUGCCCCACCCAACUCCACAGGGCUGUUUUGCCUCCCCACGGAAGGCGGGCUGAGGAGACAACCAGAUCAGGAGAGCAAGGUCAUGAAGGAGGGGACCUCUCCACACAGGUGUUCCGUGGGACCCUCAGCAGCUCUGGCUCUGCCUCAGGAGGUCACCUGCCGCCCUGUGGGAGCCGCAGAGCCUGACGCUCAGCCCCAGGCCAGCUGCGGCCAGGCCUGCGGGCCCCUGGUGAUGGGGUUACGUGGGGUGCGGGAUACAGCUGAGUGGGAACCGGAAACCUAUUCUCUUUUUAACAAAAAUAAUCUUAGGAUAAGAAUUAUUUUAACAACAUAUAAAACUGUUUCAAGCCCUCCUCCCCAGAGCUGGCGCUCAGCAGCCCUAGCGGCUGCUCCUUCAGGCGAAGGGUGGUUUGCAGAUGUGGGGAGGGUGUCUGGGGACGUUGCUGAGCCAGCUGCAGAAGGGUGGGGAUAUCAGGGCACAGUCUCCAUGUGUGUGCCAAGCCCUGGCCCCCACAGCGCUCGAUGGACCUCAGCAAGCUGCCCAGCCCUGGCCCAGGUGCCCCGACUGUGGGACUCAGUUGUUCUGAGCACAUUUGACUCCACUUUUCCCUUAAAAAUGAAUGUCUUGUUCCUGUGCAUUGGUGGCAUCACAGACCCCAGCUGGGGCGCGAUGUCAAAGGUCGGGACAGCUGUGCCGGGAGGCAGCCACAGGGAAGCUCACACAUCCUGUCAGUGUCACCUUGGUUUGCAAAACCCAUAUCCCCGGUAAAAUGAGGCCGGACAGAGGGGCUGUUAGGACAGCAAAGCAGCAGUGUCCAGAGACCCCUCAAUCCCCAAAGGUCCGCACCCUGUCCUGCACACCCUGGGCCACGCCGGCCACACCCCUCUGCUGCAACAAGCUCAUCCCUGGACUUCUGGGAGAAUGAACCCGAGGUUGGUUUGGGGAGACAGGUGAGGCGGUCGGAUCUACAGAACAACCCACCAUUUCUGGGGGCCGCAGAGGAUCCAUCACAGACGGAUACUGGGGAGUAAACGGCCCAGGCCAGGUGCCCAGGAAAGGACGGCUGAGCAUGUGGAGCGAGAGGGAGGCAGGUGGACGCUGCAGACCCCAGGUUCAGUGCGGCCCCUCGGCUGUUCCUCCCCUGUAGGGUUUGGACAGACCCACCCCCAGCCUUGCCCAGCUUUCAAAGGACAAAAGGGAGCAUCCCCCACCUACUCUCAGGUUUUUGAGGAAACAAAGAUUUGUGGUAACUGAAGGUGUUGGGUCAGUGGCCAGGUGCCGACACUGAGCUGUGACCCAGAGGGGACGCUGAGGAAGUGGGCGUGAGUGGACGUGUCAGGUGGUUACCAGGCACUGGUUGUUGAUGGUCGGUGGUUGGGUGUGGGCAGUCAUCAGUCAUCAGGUGUGCUCAGGGGACAAUCUCCCCUCAACCGCACAUGUGCCACUGUUCAGCGGAGCUGACUGGUUUCUCCUGGUAGAGGGGCCGGCUGUUUCCUGACAGAUGCCUGGUGAGCAGGGGAAGCAGGACCCAGUGGUCAGCAGGUGUCUUUAACUGUCAUUGUGUGUGGAAUGUCGCAGACUCCUCCACGUGGCGGGAAUGAGCUGUGUAAAUACUUCAAUAAAGCCUGACUUCACAUCUGCA